CGCAGCCUGAUCAGCCAUACCGCGUGUGUGAAGAAGGCCUUCGGGUUGUAAAGCACUUUAAGCAGGGAGAAAAAGUUAUAAGCUAAUAUCUUAUGACCUUGAUGUUACCUGCAGAAUAAGCACCGGCUAAUUCCGUGCCAGCAGCCGCGGUAAUACGGAAGGUGCAAGCGUUAAUCGGAAUUACUGGGCGUAAAGCGCGCGUAGGUGGUUUGUUAAGUUGGAUGUGAAAGCCCUGGGCUCAACCUAGGAACUGCAUCCAAAACUAACUCACUAGAGCACGAUAGAGGGAGGUAGAAUUCAUAGUGUAGCGGUGGAAUGCGUAGAUAUUAUGAAGAAUACCAGUGGCGAAGGCGGCCUCCUGGAUCUGCACUGACACUGAGGUGCGAAAGCGUGGGUAGCGAACAGGAUUAGAUACCCUGGUAGUCCACGCCGUAAACGAUGACAACUAGCUGUUGGGAGACAAAGUCUUUCAGUGGCGCAGCUAACGCUUUAAGUUGUCCGCCUGGGGAGUACGGCCGCAAGGCUAAAACUCAAAUGAAUUGACGGGGACCCGCACAAGCAGUGGAGCAUGUGGUUUAAUUCGACGCAACGCGAAGAACCUUACCAGCGUUUGACAUGGGAAGUACCGGUUACAGAAUGGUAACCUUCAGUUCGGCUGGCUUCCACACAGGUGCUGCAUGGCUGUCGUCAGCUCGUGUCGUGAGAUGUUGGGUUAAGUCCCGCAACGAGCGCAACCCUUAUCGUUAGUUACUAACAGUUCGGCUGAGGACUCUAGCGAAACUGCCGGUGAUAAGCCGGAGGAAGGUGGGGAUGACGUCAAGUCCUCAUGGCCCUUACACGCUGGGCUACACACGUGCUACAAUGGUAACUACAACGGGACGCAAUACCGCGAGGUGGAGCAAAUCCCAAAAAGUUAUCUCAGUUCGGAUUGCACUCUGCAACUCGAGUGCAUGAAGUUGGAAUUGCUAGUAAUCGCGGAUCAGCAUGCCCGGGUGAAUACGUUCCCGGGU
rnacentral:rRNA from 1 species